AUGGGUAGGAGGGGGUCUUGAUUUACAGUGUUCAUUUAAACGCUGGCAGUGGUCUCCCACCAUGGUCUCCACCCCUGCUGCAUGCGUAGCGUUCCACAGGAAGGAGGAGAGGCGUGACGUAAGAGGCGCAACGAGGCUGGAGGUGGUUGUUGAAAGAGGGCCUGCAGCUGCAGCCCCUCUACCCAACUCUCUGCACUGGGCUGGUUGUUGGUGCGUGAAUGAAGCGGAUCCGUGGUUAUCCUGGCUGCGCACAAGGGCGCACAGCCACGCAGCGCAGCAUGACACUGAACGUGCUGUAUGGUGGCAUUGAAUUAAUCUGGAUGCACUGAGCGGUGAAACGUUAGAAUGAAUCGCGAACAUAAUCACUGCUCCUCUGUGACUGUGACUUCUGUUCAGCACCGACAAGUCCUCAUUUGCAUGUGAUGCGAAGAUGAACAAUCUAUUUUGAUAUGUGUGAGACCUCAGACACAGCAUGUGACAGUAAAAGAUGACGUGGGGAAAGUCUUAGCAUAUAUCAGACCCCAAAUGAAAAAAAAAAUGAUGACGUGAACAUUCUACCAUUGGGUUGUUUUUUUUAGUUGUUUUUUUCAUCACGUUUCAUCAGAGGUCUUUGCCGAAGGGAGUCGAUGAAGGCAAGACCAUCUUUGGUGGAAUUACCUUGUUUGUGGUAUGUUUUCUACUUGAGCCAAAGCUGUGUGACUUUAACCAGUACAAGUGUAAUACAAAUGCUGGAAACUCAGCUAGAGAAGAUGCCCUAAUACUCCUAAACAAGCAACACAGUGCUGUAGAGAAAACUCACUUGCUUAUGUGUGAUAAUUACUAUUUUUAAUUCCUGUGAAGUUUGUGUGCCUCUUGAGAAUGUGCCUGUUAAUUUGGCUUGUGUUUUCUCUCAUCAACAGCCUUCACUUUUGCAGUGUUAGUACACCUUUACUGUUUCUUCCAUUUCAUUUCUGCACUCUUUUGUUUGCCUUUGUUGUUGUAAAGAAAGUUUGGUGCAUCUGAUUUGGACUCCCAGUCACUUUCUGACUGCCUUUGGAAGAAUGACUCAGCGAAUAUUGUUUGUGUGUGUGUGUGUGUGUGUGUGUGUGUGUGUGUGUGUGUGUGUGUGUGUGUGUGUGUGUGUGUGUUUGCCUGCAAGGGAUGGGCAUAUUAAAUUAUUUAACAAUC